GAUGAACGCUGGCGGCGUGCCUAAUACAUGCAAGUCGAGCGAACAGACGAGGAGCCUGCUCCUCUGACGUUAGCGGCGGACUGGUGAGUAACACGUGGAUAACCUACCUAUAAGACUGGGAUAACUUCGGGAAACCGGAGCUAAUACCGGAUAACAUGUUGAACCGCAUGGUUCAACAGUGAAAGACGGUCUUGCUGUCACUUAUAGAUGGAUCCGCGCCGCAUUAGCUAGUUGGUAAGGUAACGGCUUACCAAGGCAACGAUGCGUAGCCGACCUGAGAGGGUGAUCAGCCACACUGGAACUGAGACACGGUCCAGACUCCUACGGGAGGCAGCAGUAGGGAAUCUUCCGCAAUGGGCGAAAGCCUGACGGAGCAACGCCGCGUGAGUGAAGAAGGUCUUCGGAUCGUAAAACUCUGUUAUUAGGGAAGAACAAAUGUGUAAGUAACUAUGCACGUCUUGACGGUACCUAAUCAGAAAGCCACGGCUAACUACGUG
rnacentral:rRNA from 1 species